AGCGAACGCUGGCGGCAGGCUUAACACAUGCAAGUCGAACGGGCGUAGCAAUACGUCAGUGGCAGACGGGUGAGUAACGCGUGGGAACGUACCUUUUGGUUCGGAACAACACAGGGAAACUUGUGCUAAUACCGGAUAAGCCCUUACGGGGAAAGAUUUAUCGCCGAAAGAUCGGCCCGCGUCUGAUUAGCUAGUUGGUGAGAUAACGGCUCACCAAGGCGACGAUCAGUAGCUGGUCUGAGAGGAUGAUCAGCCACAUUGGGACUGAGACACGGCCCAAACUCCUACGGGAGGCAGCAGUGGGGAAUAUUGGACAAUGGGCGCAAGCCUGAUCCAGCCAUGCCGCGUGAGUGAUGAAGGCCCUAGGGUUGUAAAGCUCUUUUGUCGGGGACGAAACGGUUUCACCUAAUACGUGAGACUACUGACGGUACCCGAAGAAUAAGCACCGGCUAACUACGUG
rnacentral:rRNA from 1 species